rnacentral:tRNA from 1 species
AUAUAUGCAUAUAUAUAUAUAUAUAUAUAUAUAAUAAUAAUAUAUAUAUAUAUAUAAAUGCAUAGA